rnacentral:rRNA from 1 species
UACGGGGUGCAGCAGGCGCGAAAACUUUACAAUGCUGGCAACAGCGAUAAGGGAACCUCGAGUGCCAGGUUACAAAUCUGGCUGUCGAGAUGCCUAAAAAGCAUUGCAUAGCAAGGGCCGGGCAAGACCGGUGCCAGCCGCCGCGGUAACACCGGCGGCUCGAGUGGUAACCGUUAUUAUUGGGUCUAAAGGGUCUGUAGCCGGCCGGAUAAGUCUCUUGAGAAAUCCAGCAGCUCAACUGUUGGGCUUUCAGGAGAUACUGUUCGGCUCGAGGCCGGGAGAGGUGAGAGGUACUUCAGGGGUAGGGGUGAAAUCUUGUAAUCCUUGAAGGACCACCAGUGGCGAAGGCGUCUCACCAGAACGGACCUGACGGCAAGGGACGAAAGCUAGGGGCACGAACCGGAUUAGAUACCCGGGUAGUCCUAGCCGUAAACGAUACUCGCUAGGUGUCGGCCACGGUGCGACCGUUGUCGGUGCCGUAGGGAAGCCGUGAAGCGAGC